UUGCAUCACAGUAGUCUGAACCGGCACAAUCUUCAAGUUCCACAGGCACAAGCACAACGGAAGCCUGAGGAGGAGCGAAUGACAAGUGAGGAACAUGGCGGAGUCCACCGCUGGAGAUAGUCACGUCACCACAUAGAGCCUGAAGGACAAAGAGAAUGAGUGGGAGUUGGUUUCACCCUCUCUCUGUCUGACUGUAAAUACUCUGCCAGCAAGAACUGGACUCAUGUUCCUAGAGAUGCACCCCAGUCUCGUCAUGAUUCAGUAAACAGUAGGUGCCAUCUGCCAGCCUCAAGGACCAACAGAGCUCCCUAUCAGCCUGGAGAGCAGCUCGGAUUUAACAAGCUUGAAGGCCCAGAGCUAAGAGAAGGUUCUCUGGAGAAACAUGACCUUGAGAGAUUUCUCAAGCGGAUGCCAUGGGAAGCCAGAGGACCUGCAUGCAUUGAGGAUCUAAACAUUUCCUAGGAAUGGCAUUCAGAGACCUGUGAGCCUAUUGUGGUGGCUGAAGUACAGGCUGUUUUGAAAGCCAAACCCCAGCGCAGUGUCGUUACUCUAAUGAUGUAUUAAUGAAAACACCCUGUCUGCUCAGAGGGCCAUCGGGGGACCAGCUUCACGAACCCGACUGCAACAUUUAAUUUGUAACAUAUCUUUACCCUGAGCUAAAUUCCUACUCGCUCCAGGCCACCACAGCACUGAUGUUUCCUGGGGGACCUGCCUAUGCUCCCAGCUAGCCUGGGUUGGGCACCG